rnacentral:rRNA from 1 species
CCUACGGGUGGCAGCAGUGAGGAAUAUUGGUCAAUGGGCGGAAGCCUGAACCAGCCAAGUCGCGUGAGGGAAUAAGGCCCUACGGGUCGUAAACCUCUUUUGCCGGGGAGCAAGGGCCGGGACGAGUCCCGGUCCGGAGAGUACCCGGAGAAAAAGCAUCGGCUAACUCCGUGCCAGCAGCCGCGGUAAUACGGAGGAUGCGAGCGUUAUCCGGAUUUAUUGGGUUUAAAGGGUGCGUAGGCGGGCAUUUAAGUCAGCGGUAAAAAUUCGUGGCGCAACCCCGUCCGGCCGUUGAAACGGGGGGCCUUGGGUGGGCGAGAAGAAGGCGGAAUGCGUGGUGUAGCGGUGAAAUGCAUAGAUAUCACGCAGAACCCCGAUUGCGAAGGCAGCCUUCCGGCGCCCUACUGACGCUGAGGCACGAAAGUGCGGGGAUCGAACAGGAUUAGAUACCCCAGUAGUC